UAACCAAAAGACACGAUCCAGGCAUCAAUCGAGAGCUAGGGUGAUGUACAUCACCCCUGUACUAACCAAAUCCAUUCUUGAUCUCUAUAUUGAGAGAAAUCAGAAGUGGAAGAUAUGUGGUGUUCAUAUGAACUUCAUGAUUUUUGAAAAUUGAAAGCACAAUAAUGUUGCCUCUAUGCAGAGGACUUCAUAUCACACAACAACAACAAUGAGAAAUAAGCAUUAUGCAAGCUGAUUCGAAGAAAAUAACAGUUGAGGUAAACCUCUGAUUUGC
rnacentral:lncRNA from 1 species